rnacentral:rRNA from 1 species
GGAUUAGAUACCCUGGUAGUCCACGCAGUAAACGAUGAGUGCUAGAUAUUGGGGCUUGACCUCAGUGUUGUAGCUAACGCGUUAAGCACUCCGCCUGGGGAGUACGGUCGCAAGAUUAAAACUCAAAGGAAUUGACGGGGACCCGCACAAGCGGUGGAACAUGUGGUUUAAUUCGAUGUUACGCGAAAAACCUUACCAGACCUUGACAUGCUAGUCGUAUGCCUAUGAAAGUAGGCGGUCAUUUAGUUGGACUAGCACAGGUGUUGCAUGGCUGUCGUCAGCUCGUGCCG